rnacentral:rRNA from 1 species
UACGUAGGGUGCAAGCGUUGUCCGGAAUUAUUGGGCGUAAAGAGCUCGUAGGCGGUUCGUCGCGUCGGCUGUGAAAACCCGGAGCUCAACUCCGGGCCUGCAGUCGAUACGGGCGGACUUGAGUGUUGCAGGGGAGACUGGAAUUCCUGGUGUAGCGGUGAAAUGCGCAGAUAUCAGGAGGAACACCGGUGGCGAAGGCGGGUCUCUGGGCAACUACUGACGCUGAGAAGCGAAAGCAUGGGGAGCGAACAGG